CCACGUCACUGUCUCUCUACCUCCUCUCCUCUCUCUGUCUAUGUAUCUGUCUGUCUUUUAGGGGACUGCUGAAAUUCCAGGUCUGAAGGGGGCUCCAGGUGGCACAGGCUUCAGAGGACUAGAUGGAGACAAAGGAGAUGCUGGACCCAAAGGAGACAGGGUAGAGACUUGAUUAUGGGUUUGGAAAGCCUUUUCUUGGAUGCAGUAGUACAAGAAUCAUGACUAUCACAAAGGUCAUGUUCAUGAAGAUCUCGUAAAAAAGAAAAUGUUUAUGAAAACCUUCAUAUCAUAUGGUGUUCUGAUACCGUUAGUAUUUUUUUCCCUCAGGGUUCUGUUGGUGCGUCAGGGAUCCUAGGCCGUCAGGGUGAGAGGGGUCAGAGUGGCCUCUCAGGCCUUCCUGGUGUCAGAGGUCAAGCUGGCCCCCAAGACAUUCCGGUAAACAUCAGGGUGACACCUGCUAUUCACAGCCUUUAUUAACAUACAUUAAUAACACUCUCCCCAUCUUCCUACUGUACCUCUUCUGCCGUUACAUACUGAUACAUGAUUCUUUUAAAAUGUAUGAAGGAUUAUGUUGGAUACCUGUAGUUUGUGUUUAUGAAAUGGCACAGCUCAUUUGAACCUUUGAUGAGAGAGGCUCUGAUCCCUUUCUCUCCCAUGCAGGGUGAAGACGGAGAGGUCGGCCUCCAGGGAGUGGUUGGAAAGGAGGGGUCAAAGGGCCACAGGGGAACUCCAGGCCAUAAUGGGAAAUCAGGACCUAAAGGACCCAGGGGUCGUACUGGACAGCCUGGUCUUUUUGGUAUACCUGGAAUCCCGGUAAGAGAACAGUAUUCAUUCUCAUAUGAAUAUUACUUGACAGACAAUCCUUGAUGAAUACUGUAGCUAUAGUAACAAUCAGCUGUCCUUGUUGUGUGUGAUAUGUAUGCCAGACGUGUUUGUGUCUAUGUCUGUGCGUUAUGUUGCAGGGUUUUAGAGGCCUCAUUGGGACUGAGGGUGCAGAAGGAAAGCCUGGUACACAGGUUCCCAUUUUAUAACUUUUAAUUUUUUUAAUAUCACUUAUUAGGAUUUUCUACUGACUCCUUAUUGUCUACUGUGCAUUGUCAAUGCAGUUCCUUGAACAGGUACUAACCCAACUAUUUCAAUCAUUAUUGAUAAGUAGGUUUCAGGAUAAGUUCUGUGUACAGAUAGAUAGAUAGAUAGAUAGAUAGAUAGAUAGAUAGAUAGAUAGAUAGAUAGAUAGAUAGAUAGAUAGAUAGAUAGAUAGAUAGAUAGAUAGAUAGAUAGAUAGAUAGAUAGAUAGAUAGAUAGAUAGAUAGAUAGAUAGAUAGAUAGAUAGAUAGAUAGAUAGAUAGAUAGAUAGAUAGAUAGAUAGAUAGAUAGAUAGAUAGUAGGAUCUUAAUUUGAUCAUUCUUUUGUUGCAGAGAACUUUCCUGCACAACAGGAAAUGCAAAUUGUGGUGUAUUUGAGUUUUAAAAUGUCCACUUUGAAAUGUCAGACUUGAUUUGCCACUACAAAAAUGUCCAUGAAUUAUAAUCCACAUAAUAAUUCAAAUUUCCUUUUGCUGCAGGAUUAUUUUCCUGCUGUAGAAAACUGACUCAAAUUAAGAUCCUACAUCUGUACAGAAAAUAAAUGUAUGGCAUGAUAAAAACAAUAUGUGUAAUGUUUGUUGUUGUGUGUGAUUGUAGGGUGAGCUUGGUUCUGCUGGUAUUCCUGGAACUAAAGGACACAGAGUAAGUCACACCCCUUUAACCAAUCAGCUCUAAACAAGUAAAAGUCAACAGUAAAAAGAACAGAAACACAAAUGGCUCAAUCAUUGCUGCACUCUCAUAAACCACAGCAAUAAAGAGAGGUGUGAUUGGUUGCUUAUCAGAUGAUCCUCCUUAGACACAGACAUAACUGCCUGCCUGUGGGCCUGUGGUGGCUAUUGCUGUCACAGCUCUCCUGUUUAUAUGAGCACCUACAUGUCAGACAGACAAGACUAGAUAGUGUACCAGUAAAGAGGUUUACAAGAUACACAAGAGGUUUACCUGAUCAUCCCCAGGGGUUUGUAGGAUCAGUCAGUCAGUGUCUUUGUAAGACACAUUCAGCAUGGCACAGCCAGGGAUGAUCUGAGGUCCUCAACACUGCU
rnacentral:lncRNA from 8 species